AGCCCAGAGCCUGAAUCAGUGUGUGUGUUAGUGGAAGCGUCUGGAAAGGCGCGCGAUACAGGGUGACAGCCCCGUACACAAAAAUGCACAUGCUGUGAGCUCGAUGAGUAGGGCGGGACACGUGGUAUCCUGUCUGAAUAUGGGGGGACCAUCCUCCAAGGCUAAAUACUCCUGACUGACCGAUAGUGAACCAGUACCGUGAGGGAAAGGCGAAAAGAACCCCGGCGAGGGGAGUGAAAAAGAACCUGAAACCGUGUACGUACAAGCAGUGGGAGCACGCUUAGGCGUGUGACUGCGUACCUUUUGUAUAAUGGGUCAGCGACUUAUAUUCUGUAGCAAGGUUAACCGAAUAGGGGAGCCGAAGGGAAACCGAGUCUUAACUGGGCGUUAAGUUGCAGGGUAUAGACCCGAAACCCGGUGAUCUAGCCAUGGGCAGGUUGAAGGUUGGGUAACACUAACUGGAGGACCGAACCGACUAAUGUUGAAAAAUUAGCGGAUGACUUGUGGCUGGGGGUGAAAGGCCAAUCAAACCGGGAGAUAGCUGGUUCUCCCCGAAAGCUAUUUAGGUAGCGCCUCGUGAAUUCAUCUCCGGGGGUAGAGCACUGUUUCGGCAAGGGGGUCAUCCCGACUUACCAACCCGAUGCAAACUGCGAAUACCGGAGAAUGUUAUCACGGGAGACACACGGCGGGUGCUAACGUCCGUCGUGAAGAGGGAAACAACCCAGACCGCCAGCUAAGGUCCCAAAGUCAUGGUUAAGUGGGAAACGAUGUGGGAAGGCCCAGACAGCCAGGAUGUUGGCUUAGAAGCAGCCAUCAUUUAAAGAAAGCGUAAUAGCUCACUGGUCGAGUCGGCCUGCGCGGAAGAUGUAACGGGGCUAAACCAUGCACCGAAGCUGCGGCAGCGACGCUGAUGCGUUGUUGGGUAGGGGAGCGUUCUGUAAGCCUGCGAAGGUGUGCUGUGAGGCAUGCUGGAGGUAUCAGAAGUGCGAAUGCUGACAUAAGUAACGAUAAAGCGGGUGAAAAGCCCGCUCGCCGGAAGACCAAGGGUUCCUGUCCAACGUUAAUCGGGGCAGGGUGAGUCGACCCCUAAGGCGAGGCCGAAAGGCGUAGUCGAUGGGAAACAGGUUAAUAUUCCUGUACUUGGUGUUACUGCGAAGGGGGGACGGAGAAGGCUAUGUUGGCCGGGCGACGGUUGUCCCGGUUUAAGCGUGUAGGCUGGUUUUCCAGGCAAAUCCGGAAAAUCAAGGCUGAGGCGUGAUGACGAGGCACUACGGUGCUGAAGCAACAAAUGCCCUGCUUCCAGGAAAAGCCUCUAAGCAUCAGGUAACAUCAAAUCGUACCCCAAACCGACACAGGUGGUCAGGUAGAGAAUACCAAGGCGCUUGAGAGAACUCGGGUGAAGGAACUAGGCAAAAUGGUGCCGUAACUUCGGGAGAAGGCACGCUGAUAUGUAGGUGAAGUCCCUCGCGGAUGGAGCUGAAAUCAGUCGAAGAUACCAGCUGGCUGCAACUGUUUAUUAAAAACACAGCACUGUGCAAACACGAAAGUGGACGUAUACGGUGUGACGCCUGCCCGGUGCCGGAAGGUUAAUUGAUGGGGUUAGCGCAAGCGAAGCUCUUGAUCGAAGCCCCGGUAAACGGCGGCCGUAACUAUAACGGUCCUAAGGUAGCGAAAUUCCUUGUCGGGUAAGUUCCGACCUGCACGAAUGGCGUAAUGAUGGCCAGGCUGUCUCCACCCGAGACUCAGUGAAAUUGAACUCGCUGUGAAGAUGCAGUGUACCCGCGGCAAGACGGAAAGACCCCGUGAACCUUUACUAUAGCUUGACACUGAACAUUGAGCCUUGAUGUGUAGGAUAGGUGGGAGGCUUUGAAGUGUGGACGCCAGUCUGCAUGGAGCCGACCUUGAAAUACCACCCUUUAAUGUUUGAUGUUCUAACGUUGACCCGUAAUCCGGGUUGCGGACAGUGUCUGGUGGGUAGUUUGACUGGGGCGGUCUCCUCCUAAAGAGUAACGGAGGAGCACGAAGGUUGGCUAAUCCUGGUCGGACAUCAGGAGGUUAGUGCAAUGGCAUAAGCCAGCUUGACUGCGAGCGUGACGGCGCGAGCAGGUGCGAAAGCAGGUCAUAGUGAUCCGGUGGUUCUGAAUGGAAGGGCCAUCGCUCAACGGAUAAAAGGUACUCCGGGGAUAACAGGCUGAUACCGCCCAAGAGUUCAUAUCGACGGCGGUGUUUGGCACCUCGAUGUCGGCUCAUCACAUCCUGGGGCUGAAGUAGGUCCCAAGGGUAUGGCUGUUCGCCAUUUAAAGUGGUACGCGAGCUGGGUUUAGAACGUCGUGAGACAGUUCGGUCCCUAUCUGCCGUGGGCGCUGGAGAACUGAGGGGGGCUGCUCCUAGUACGAGAGGACCGGAGUGGACGCAUCACUGGUGUUCGGGUUGUCAUGCCAAUGGCACUGCCCGGUAGCUAAAUGCGGAAGAGAUAAGUGCUGAAAGCAUCUAAGCACGAAACUUGCCCCGAGAUGAGUUCUCCCUGACUCCUUGAGAGUCCUGAAGGAACGUUGAAGACGACGACGUUGAUAGGCCGGGUGUGUAAGCGCAGCGAUGCGUUGAGCUAACCGGUACUAAUGAACCGUGAGGCUUAACCUU
rnacentral:rRNA from 1 species